ACUUUCGCCGGUCCCAAGCCCGGAUAAAGGAGGAGGGUUGGAAUUAUGAUGUUUGAAAAACAAGAAUCAUCUGAAGAAAGUUAAUUUGAAGUUCUAAACAUUUCUUUUUUUUAAAUCACUUUUUGUCCCUCCCACAACAUGAUUCCUCUCUCCGGAAAUAGCGGCCAUCUUGAAAAGAUGGCAGCCAUGUUUGCUGCAUUUUUUCUCAAACAGACAAUAAAAAUAAGAAAAUAAUCUUAUAAUCAAGAAACCACACAGGCGGAAUUACCGAAUUCUGAAGAAAUUCAACCACUUCUGCACAGAAAAAUGAAAAAGACAAUAAUGGAAUAGCAGAUUUUGCUGAUGUUUUAUGGACCGGUUCAUCCAAGGCUCUUGGCAGAUCGUGGGAGGUGCUAAUGG